rnacentral:lncRNA from 1 species
GGAGAUGAAAGAUGGACCUGAACAGGAGCAGAGACGCAGAGCUGGCCACACAUGGAAGGUAAUGCCAGGACAAAUCGGGAUGAACUAGAAAGUUGGUUGGAAAUCUGCCCAGCUAUAGGCUUAAGCUUUAAAAUACCCGAUAGCCUCUGUGUCAUCAUUUGUACUGCUUCUGGGUCAGAAAGUCCUGCUAUAUAACUGAAAUCACACGGGGGGCCUCUUUAGAAGAAACUGACCAGUGCGGAAGGAACAAUAUCCUCAGAUCAUGGAGAGCAAGAGAAGGAAACACAGAAAAUAACCAUGAGGCCUGAGAAAUGUUUUGAAUGUAUGUGAGAUUUAUCACAUCCUUCCUGCAACCGCUCCUGUCACCCUCCCUGAAGGCUGUCAAGAAAGGACAAGGAGACCAGCAUGUGGUUUUAGUUUCUGCCACAAGGCUCACAUGAGUCCCUCUGUAUCGCCUGGCUGGCCCUUCCUUCCUCCGCAUCCAGGCUAACUUUAAAAUCCAACCUGAAGGUUUUAAAAAUCCAAUUAUAAGUUAGCCUAUAUAUUAGAUGGGGGGGGGGGGGAGGAAACUUCAUAUUAAAAGCCCUGUAUAAAAUGCACUCUUUACUGCAUUGAGUUUGGUCAAGAGUUUUCGUGGCUGCCUGUUAGUUUGUGUUACCAAAACGAAACAUUGAAACAUCGGCAUGGAAGUUUCUUCUAGGAGCCUGCCCCCAGUUGGAGGAAAACCAAAUAGCCUUAGAACUCAUGGAAUUUGUCCCACCGGUUAGCACAACCACAUCAAGAGGCAGAACCCCGACUGUCCUGAGGACUUCUUGCUGUUGUGGAGUUUUGCUCUGCUCACCGUCUUCAAGAUCACCACAUCCCUCUUGGUCCGUGAGUUGCAUGAAAACUCCAAAAAGGCUGCCAGCCCCUCACUGGACAGUAUCAUUGGUAUCAAGAAUAGUGAUUGCUCUUUUUCAAGUGUUGCAGCUGGAGCAGAUUACUGAUUCAACCACCACCCUCAGAAAGGACAUAGAGCUGUAGAUUGCUGGUAAUGUCCGGCACUCUUAGAAAGAAUGUGGAAAUGUCGGUUGUAGUAAAGUUAGGCUAAGAUGCUUUUGCUAGCGGCUUGGAAGUAGAAAACCGUGGGGAACAAUUGGAAAUUCAGAGAGGCACACUCUUGAUAGUUGAGCUAGACCCUUUUGAUGUCAGGGACAAGAACAAUGGCAACCCAGCUAAUACUGGCUGAGGUGGGUAUGCCUGUUUGGCUGAAGCAGCGCUGGUGAUCAAGGUGAUGACUAAGAUCUUAUACCCAUCUUACCCUCAGAUUCCUGACAGGAUUUAAUAAAAAAUUGUUAAUAAGUAGAUGUGCACCCUAAGGAUUUAUAGGAAAAAUGAUUUUUAUAUGAAGGUUUAAGUUUGUGAUACUCUUAAGAUUUUUUUAUAAGAUUACAUUUUAAGAUGAAUAAUAAAAUAAUUGCCGUGUGUCAAUAAUUUUGAGAGAAUUAUCUUGGUUGCUUACACUUUGGCAAUAUCACAAGUUGGUUAGUUACAAAUGUAUAAGGGUUCUUGAGAAUAAUUUGUUUUUAUUUUGCUUAUCCAGAAUACAUAAAACAUUUUAUCAUGUGAGGGUAUUGGGAAAGAUGUUUUUUCUUAUGUAUAGUCAUUGUAAUCAUCCACUUAAAGAAAAAUAGAAUAUAGCCACAUUAUGAUGGUUGUACUACUGGAAAGAUUUUGCUGGGACAUACAAUAUGUGUGAGAAAAAUAAAGUUGUUGGAUCUUGCUCAUUG